GCGGGAGUGGUGGAAUUGGUAGACACGCAGGAUUUAGGUUCCUGUGCCGCAAGGCGUGAGAGUUCAAGUCUCUCCUUCCGCACCG
rnacentral:tRNA from 1 species